AGAGUUUGAUCAUGGCUCAGGACGAACGCUGGCGGCGUGCUUAAUACAUGCAAGUCGAGCGGAGACUAUAGUAAUAUAGUCUUAGCGGCGGACGGGUGAGUAACGCGUGGGCAACCUGCCUUGAACUGGGGGAUAACACUGGGAAACUAGUGCUAAUACCGCAUAACAUAGUGAUGUGGCAUCACAUUAUUAUCAAAGGAGUAAUCCGGUACAAGAUGGGCCUGCGUCCGAUUAGCUAGUUGGUGAGGUAAUGGCUCACCAAGGCGACGAUCGGUAGCCGAACUGAGAGGUUGAUCGGCCACAUUGGGACUGAGACACGGCCCAGACUCCUACGGGGGGCAGCAGUGGGGAAUAUUGCGCAAUGGGGGAAACCCUGACGCAGCAACGCCGCGUGAAGGAUGAAGGUUUUCGGAUUGUAAACUUCUUUGAUUGGGGACGAAUAAUGACGGUACCCAAAAAACAAGCCACGGCUAACUACGUGCCAGCAGCCGCGGCAAUACGUAGGUGGCGAGCGUUGUCCGGAAUUACUGGGUGUAAAGGGCGUGUA
rnacentral:rRNA from 1 species